CCGGCGCACGGGUGAGUAACGCGUAUGCAACCUGCCCGUUUCAGCGGGAUAACCCGGAGAAAUCCGGCCUAAUACCGCAUGUGGCCGAGGGGAGGCAUCUUCUUUCGGCCAAAGGAGGCAACUCCGGAGACGGAUGGGCAUGCGUGACAUUAGCUUGUUGGCGGGGUAACGGCCCACCAAGGCGACGAUGUCUAGGGGUUCUGAGAGGAAGGUCCCCCACACUGGUACUGAGACACGGACCAGACUCCUACGGAAGGCAGCAG
rnacentral:rRNA from 1 species